rnacentral:rRNA from 1 species
GACGAACGCUGGCGGCGUGCUUAACACAUGCAAGUCGAGCGGUAAGGCCCUUUCGGGGGUACACGAGCGGCGAACGGGUGAGUAACACGUGGGUGACCUGCCCUCAGCUCUGGGAUAAGCCUGGGAAACUGGGUCUAAUACUGGAUAUGACUCCACGGUGCAUGUCGUGGGGUGGAAAGCCUUGUGCGGCUGAGGAUGGGCCCGCGGCCUAUCAGCUUGUUGGUGGGGUGANGGCCUACCAAGGCGACGACGGGUAGCCGGCCUGAGAGGGCGACCGGCCACACUGGGACUGAGACACGGCCCAGACUCCUACGGGGAGGCAGCAGUGGGGAAUCUUGCGCAAUGGGCGAAAAGCCUGACGCAGCGACGCCGCGUGAGGGAUGACGGCCUGGUUGUAAC